AACGAACGCUGGCGGCAUGCCUAACACAUGCAAGUCGAACGAGACCUUCGGGUCUAGUGGCGCACGGGUGCGUAACGCGUGGGAACCUGCCCUUAGGUUCGGAAUAACUCCCCGAAAGGGGUGCUAAUACCGGAUAAUGUCUUCGGACCAAAGAUUUAUCGCCUUUGGAUGGGCCCGCGUUGGAUUAGCUAGUUGGUAGGGUAAAAGCCUACCAAGGCGACGAUCCAUAGCUGGUCUGAGAGGAUGAUCAGCCAAACUGGGACUGAGACACGGCCCAGACGCCUACGGGAGGCAGCAGUGGGGAAUGUUGGACAAUGGGCGAAAGCCUGAUCCAGCAAUGCCGCGUGAGUGAUGAAGGCCUUAGGGUGGUAAAGCUCUCUUACCCGGGAUGAUAAUGAUAGUACCGGGAGAAUAAGCCCCGGCUAACUCCGUG
rnacentral:rRNA from 1 species